rnacentral:rRNA from 1 species
GGCUGUCGUCAGCUCGUGUUGUGAAAUGUUGGGUUAAGUCCCGCAACGAGCGCAACCCUUAUCCUUUGUUGCCAGCGGUUAGGCCGGGCACUCAAAGGAGACUGCCAGUGAUAAACUGGAGGAAGGUGGGGAUGACGUCAAGUCAUCAUGGCCCUUACGACCAGGGCUACACACGUGCUACAAUGGCCGGUACAAAGGGAAGCGACCUCGCGAGGGCAAGCGAAUCUCAUAAAGCCCGUCGUAGUCCGGAUUGCAGUCUGCAACUCGACUGCAUGAAGUCGGAAUCGCUAGUAAUCGUGA